GACGAACGCUGGCGGCGUGCUUAACACAUGCAAGUCGAACGGAAAGGCCCUGCUUUUGUGGGGUGCUCGAGUGGCGAACGGGUGAGUAACACGUGAGUAACCUGCCCUUGACUUUGGGAUAACUUCAGGAAACUGGGGCUAAUACCGGAUAGGAGCUCCUGCUGCAUGGUGGGGGUUGGAAAGUUUCGGCGGUUGGGGAUGGACUCGCGGCUUAUCAGCUUGUUGGUGGGGUAGUGGCUUACCAAGGCUUUGACGGGUAGCCGGCCUGAGAGGGUGACCGGCCACAUUGGGACUGCGGUACGGCCCAGACUCCUACGGGAGGCAGCAGUGGGGAAUAUUGCACAGUGGGCGGAAGCCUGAUGCAGCAACGCCGCGUGCGGGAUGACGGCCUUCGGGUUGUAAACCGCUUUCGCCUGUGACGAAGCGUGAGUGACGGUAAUGGGUAAAGAAGCACCGGCUAACUACGUG
rnacentral:rRNA from 1 species